rnacentral:rRNA from 1 species
UACGUAGGGUGCAAGCGUUGUCCGGAAUUAUUGGGCGUAAAGAGCUCGUAGGCGGUCUGUCGCGUCGGAUGUGAAAACCCGGGGCUUAACCCCGGGCCUGCAUUCGAUACGGGCAGACUCGAGUGUGGUAGGGGAGACUGGAACUCCUGGUGUAGCGGUGAAAUGCGCAGAUAUCAGGCGGAACACCAGUAGCGAAGGCGGCUCGCUGGGCCAUUCCUGACGCUGAGACGCGAAAGCUAGGGGAGCGAACAGG